rnacentral:rRNA from 1 species
GACGAACGCUGGCGGCGUGCCUAAUACAUGCAAGUCGAGCGCAGGAAAUCGACGGAACCCUUCGGGGGGAAGUCGACGGAAUGGGCGGCGGACGGGUGAGUAACACGUAAAGAACCUGCCCUCAGGUCUGGGAUAACCACGAGAAAUCGGGGCUAAUGCCGGAUGGGUCAUCGGACCGCAUGGUCCGAGGAUGAAAGGCGCUUCGGCGUCGCCUGGGGAUGGCUUUGCGGUGCAUUAGCUAGUUGGUGGGGUAAUGGCUCACCAAGGCGACGAUGCAUAGCCGACCUGAGAGGGUGAUCGGCCACACUGGGACUGAGACACGGCCCAGACUCCUACGGGAGGCAGCAGUAGGGAAUCUUCCACAAUGGACGAAAGUCUGAUGGAGCAACGCCGCGUGAACGAUGAAGGCCUUCGGGUCGUAAAGUUCUGUUGUAAGGGAAGAACAAGUGCCGCAGGCAAUGGCGGCACCUUGACGGUACCUUGCGAGAAAGCCACGGCUAACUACGUGCCAGCCGCCGCAGUAA